rnacentral:rRNA from 1 species
CCUACGGGUGACUGCAGUGGGGAAUAUUGGGCAAUGGCCGCAAGCCUGACCCAGCAACGCCGCGUGAAGGAAGAAGGCUUUCGGGUUGUAAACUUCUUUUCUCAGGGACGAAGAAAGUGACGGUACCUGAGGAAUAAGCCACGGCUAACUACGUGCCAGCAGCCGCGGUAAUACGUAGGUGGCAAGCGUUAUCCGGAUUUAAUGGGUGUAAAGGGCGUGUAGGCGGGAGCGCAAGUCAGAUGUGAAAACUGAGGGCUCAACCCUGAGCCUGCAUUUGAAACUGUGUUUCUUGAGUGCUGGAGAGGCAAUCGGAAUGCGGGGUGUAGCGGUGAAAUGCGUAGAUAUACGGAGGAACACCGGUGGCGAAGGCGGAAUGCCGGACAUUAACUGACGCUGAGGCGCGAAAGCGUGGGGAGCAAACAGGAUUAGAUACCCGAGUAGUC